GAUCCUGGCUCAGGAUGAACGCUGGCGGCGUGCCUAACACAUGCAAGUCGAGCUGGAAAUCCGUGACGGAUCCUUCGGGUGACGGAUCGGAUGGAGAGCGGCGGACGGGUGAGUAACGCGUAGGUAACCUGCCCUGUACAGAGGGAUAGCCACUGGAAACGGUGAUUAAUACCUCAUAAUGCCGGAUCUGCACAUGCAGGACCGGUCAAAGUUUUUUCGGUACAGGAUGG
rnacentral:rRNA from 1 species